rnacentral:pre_miRNA from 1 species
AGUGGAUAACUGGGUCAAAUCUUGGUUCCAUUCCUACUUUUCUGAGAAAUCUCCAUACUGCUUUCCAGAGUGGUUGCACCAAUUUGCAGUCCCACCAGCAAU